UCUUAUAAUGCUUUGUGAUCACAUUGGGCCCAACAGAUAAUCCAGGGCAAUCUUCCCUCUCAAGAUCCUGAACUUAAUCAUGUCUGCAAAACCCCUUUAACAAGUUUUCCAGUUGAACUGAAUUUUAUGAAGGUUAUAAGGCAGAGAGGAAGAAUGCCAUUGUUCUAAUGAAAGGAUUGGGACCAGAUGCAUAAACUUCAAGAAAUCUCUUCUAGCAUCAGCAUAUACAUCAAUAAAUAGAUGACAUUUAUGGAUAUGCUUCUCCUACUCAGCCUUCAUAAGGAAGAACAGCUCACAUUGUGGUCCAAAAGGAAAUCAUAAGACAGGUACCUGCUGAAGGCAGAAGAUGAGCUGAUCUCAGAUCACUCCAUUCAAAACACAGGGAUUCAGAGGCAAAUAAAGCAUGCAAUGAAUUACUUGGUGUGAUAAGAAACAUGAGAAGAGAAAAAUAAGAAAAAAAGUGUCAGGAUAUGAGGUCAAAUGAGAUUCUGCUCAUUAACACUGAAACAAAUUUGGAAGAUAUUGAAAGACCAGGGAGUUAAUGAUCAAGUUGCUUGCAUAUUUUGUUGGCUGGUGAGGGCUGCUGUGUACCUCCGGGAUGCCACCUGGUUUCUGCAUCUUCCAGAGGGCAAUGCCAUUAUUCCCUCACAUGGCAAAAGGUGGAAAGGCAAGCUAGAGCCAAAAGUCAUCUUCUUAAAAACUUCUUCUGCUGGAAUGAAAAGCUCUAAAAACUUCAGAUUGUUUGUUAUACAUGGAUGACAUUCAUUAAUUCUUUGGUUUCAACUAAUAAUAAUGUUGCUGGCUCAGUCAGAGACAUGACAAGUCCUUGAAAAAUUCAAAAGAGUCUCAAAAUUCACAAAUUGAACUCUAUGCUCUGACUUCUGUGUCUGUGUUUCUACAGGAUACAUUUGGAAAUCCAAAUGGGAAACAUACUCCUUUACCCUAUGAUUUUGAAAACAAUUGGUCAGGUAUCUCUCAACAUCUGGAGAGACAGUACCAUAUGUUGGUUGGGAGUGUUGAAAAAGAGAAGACAUUAAAUAGUCCUUUUAGAUGGUGACAGAGUUGGUAGUCUAGGGAGAUAUUACAGGAUUCCUUGCAGCAGUAGGUCCUAUUGAAACUCCAAGGAGGCCAUUCAAAAUGACAGUGCUCAUAUACCAGGCCUCAAGAUGUGAUGUGAACAAGCAGAGUAUUGUUCACCUGUGCUUUCCCCAAUUUGAUAAAAUUAUUUUGUUUAUGGCCUUUGUGGGUAAAUGUAAUUGUGAUUAAAACAAUGUACCCGAGAAUUUAAGCUUAGUAAAAUAGAAAGCAAGAGCAUUCGGUAGUGAGAGAGAGUGAAAAAGUAAUAGGAACUAUGGAUUGAACAACACAAUUAAUUAGAAAAUUGAGAAGAAGUCCUAACAUAAGGAAAAAUUGGUAAGGCAAGAGGUUAAUUCUGUUAACAUCUAACAUGAUAAACUAUAGUCUGGAAAUAAAAUAGUUGUUUUAUUCCUAA